GUGAAGAACGCAGCGAAAUGCGAUAAGUAGUGUGAAUUGCAGAAUUCAGUGAAUCAUCGAAUCUUUGAACGCACAUUGCGCCCUUUGGUAUUCCUUAGGGCAUGCCUGUUCGAGCGUCAUUUGAAACCUCAAGCUCAGCUUGGUGUUGGGUGUCUGUCCCCGCCUCCGCGGGGACUCGCCUCAAAAUCAUUGGCGGCCGGUACGUUGGCUUCGAGCGCAGCAGAAACGCGAACUCGAGGCCCGGCGGAUCGGCGACCAGAAGUCUCUUCUUCACAGUUUGACCUCGGAUCAGGUAGGGAUACCCGCUGAACUUAAGCAUAUCAAUAAGCGGAGGA
rnacentral:misc_RNA from 1 species